rnacentral:lncRNA from 1 species
GUAUGAAUCAAUUUCUCUGCUCUUUUUUUUUUCAAUCCUUGAAUCGAAUCAUUGCUUAGUUCUUGCUUUAAUUUCUCCAUUUUCUGUUGGGUCUUUGAUUGCAGGUUUAGCUCUGCAAGAAAACUGGGAAAUUUAAUUGUGACCUCCAAUCUAAUCGACUCUGCUUUGACUAAAAUUCUUGAGCUUCAAAGAGACCAAACAGCCUUGCCUUCCCCCGUUCAAUACAGAGUUUUUUAUCCAUCUCCCAACUGCACAAUUGUAGCUUUUGUCUCUUCACCUGACUGCACUCAAAACCCUCUUCCUGGACAAGGAGAUUUAGUUCCCUCUCCUCUCUUUGACUUCCUCUGCACCGAAGAAUACAAGUCCGUCUCCAUUAACAGAGCUGCAUUAACCCUCUUUACCUCUCUCCACGAUCAUCUCUCUGGACUAAAAACUCAGGUCAAAAUAUGAUAGUUGUUUUUAUUUUCGUUUCCUUUUUGUUAACAAUUGGGAGACAUGAAACAGCUUGACCAUGAGAUCUCUCUCAUAGAGUCAAACUACCUGAAGAAGAAGAAGACGUUACACAUAUCCAUCUGCGCUGCAUCAUCGCAUUACCCAUUGAUCGGUUGUGAUUCAACUCUUAAUAGGAAGACAGUAGAACUGGUGUUGGUAUCUGUUUUUAGAUCAGCUUAUAUGUAUCUUGUUGCUAAAAAGGGAAUGUUUAGAAGUGAGAUUAAUGGGAUUAUUCUGACAUGGAUUUCAUAUGGUUACCUGUUUUGCAGUUGACUGUGAUUGAAGGUCGAUUAAUCAUUACUGGGUACUCGAUGGGAGGAUCCGUUGCUUCUCUCUUCACCUUAUGCCUGUUAGAAGUCAUCAAUUUAUCAAAACCCAAAUGCCGCCCCAUUUGUAUCACCUUUGGUUCACCCCUCAUAGGCGACUUUGGCCUCCAACACUCCAAUUGGAAUUCUUUCUUCUUGCAUGUAGUGUCCAACCAAGAUCUAGUCCCCGGACUCUUCCUCCCAUCCGACAGAUCUCCUCCCACAUCCUCCCAUUCACAAACUACUGGUUACAAGCCCUUUGGGACAUAUCUCUUGUGCUCUGAACUUGGUUGUGCUUGUUUUGACAACUCUGAUUUAAUUUUGGAAUUGCUGAAAGUCAUAUCAUCAGAGGUUGCCAGAGGAUUGCGGGAUGUUGAUUACAGGAAGAUUUUAAGAAACCUCAAGGAGAGGGCAAUCUGCAAGGGACUUCCGCAGGUGGGUGAAAGGUUUGCAAAUCCAUUUUCAGCUGGGAUCAUCAUGGAACUUGAGACGAUUGGAUUUAAUGAAACAAAGGUAAACAGCUUUCUCCCAUCUACUGAUGUUAUGGAACAUGGUUUACACAUCAUUAAAUACUGCAACAACUGCCCUAUUUAGAUUUAGGGCAAUGAUGAAAAUAUCAGUAAUCACGGAUAUAUCAGUAUUUCGAUUUUACGGAUAUAUCGGAUAUAUCGGAGAUAUAUCGGUAGAUAUUUUGAAAAAAAAUAUCGGCAAGCUUAAAAUUGUUAAAAACUCAUGAAAAUAUAAGAAAAUCUCAUAAUAAUAUAAUUAAAAGUAUAAUAGACAUUUUAAAGUUAUUUUAUUGAAAAUUUUGAUAUAUGUAUAACAUGAUUUAUCAUAUUUGAUAAUAAUAUCGUAUGCGUCGAUAAAAAUAUGAAUUUUAUAAGUGUACAUUUAUUAUUAAAUUACACCUAAUAUUAUGAUAUCUGAUUAUAAUAUGUCUAAUUUUAAAAUAUAUAUUAGUAUUAAAAUAUGAUCCAUUUAAUUCAAUUGUAUUAAACAAUAUAAAAUAAAUAAUGAUAUAUAUAUAUAUAUAUAUAAUUUUUUAAUAUUUAAUUAAUUAUUAAUGAUAUUAAAAACAUUAUGAAGAAAAUUAUAUAAUUUUUUAAUUUUUGGUAAUUAAUUAAAAGACUUUGCAUUUAAUUAUAAAUUAAUUAUAAUUAAUUUACUCUUUAAAAUAUUCUUAUAUUUUCUUUAUAUAAUGAAUUUAAGUAUAUAUAUAGUUGUUGCAUAUUAUAUAUUAAAGGACAACUUAGCCCAAGUGGUAAGCGAGUGAACCCCAAUGUGAGGCAUUGUAGCACGUGCACUGUAGCAUCACUGUAGCGACUCUGACUUUCGUUGACCCGCAUUGACUACACGAUAUAUCGGAGAAAAAUCACUGAUUUAUCGCCAAAUCACCAAUAAAUCGCCGAUUUCUCGCGAUAAAUACCAAAAUAUAGUGUCGAAACCCUUCGAUACACGAUUUUUCGGCGCAUUUUCUUACUUGGAUUUACCUUUUUGUUCUUUGGGAUCUUCCAUGACUCAUUUUUUAAUGCCAUUUUAUUUUCCUUUUUGUUUCUAAAUUUUUAAAAAAUCGUUUUCACUUCUUUUUUUUAAGAAAAUUUUGGCAAAUUUUGAAAAUAUAAUAUUAGUGUUUUCACUUCUUUCUUUUUUUUUUUUUUCUUUUUUUUUUUAAACUCAAUUUUCUAAAAAAUGAAAAUAGAAAAACAUUGUCUAAACAUGUUUGUAAACUUAAUUUUAUUUUUUUAUAAAUGAAAAAAAAAAUCUAAAUGAGUAAGGCUUUAUUAAUUUUAAUUUUUUUCUUUUCCUUAUAUUUUCUUAUUUUAUUCCAAAUUUUCUUGCAACCAAACAUAAUCUAAAUGUUUACAACUUUUAUUGUAAGGAAUGAAUGACACUACUUUGUGAACUUUUAUGAUAAUAUUUUGAAUCAUAAAUUGUGUUUUUUUUAGUAAUAUCAAUUUUAUUACCAAUGACUUAAUUGUUAAUAACAAAAUAUAAUAUUUAUAAAUAUUUUUAUUCUCAACAGGCUACAAUUUUUACUCUUGUGAUAAAAAAAAUUUUGUCAUAAAUUACACAUUAUGAUGAGUUUUUCUAUUUUCCUUAUCAGCCAAUUCAACAAAUAUCAUAUAUAUUGUAAUGGCUAACAAAUUUUCACAUAAAUUUUUUAUAAGAUAAAGUAGAAUGGAAUUAUUCAAUUUCAAAAAAAAAAAAAAUGGUACCUAAUGAAAAAGAUAAAAUAUAUAGAUCAUCUCGAAGAAAUCAGGAAAGAUAAAUGAUGAGACCAUAUAUAGGACCCUUGAUGGAGACUAUUUUAAUUGAAGUGGUGUGCUCCUUCCGACUCAGAACAUGUUCAGCAUUGCACACAAACUAACAUCGUCGAUCUUGAGUAUGAAAAAGGUGAUUAGAUUCCAAGGUUGUCGUUUGUCCCAACUCCUCAUAUUAGAGGUGAUGCUCAAGCUAACGUGCCUCGCAGUUGAGCCCCGGCCAAUCGGUCUAAUAUGCUUUUCCAAUGGUGAGUUUCACUGCCACCAUGUAUUACAUUAAUUCCGAUAGCGCACAAGUUGUGUUUGUGCUAUUGCUUUUUGCCCUCACAAACAUAUACACAAGAGACAUUCAGACCAGAUCUGUUCUACCAUCCUCUAGGAAAGCAUUGUAGGUCAUUUGAAAUUGGGAUUUCAGCACCAGAGUCAAAUUGCCUUCCUUCCUGAAAGAUGAGCAUUUUUUAUACUCUUACAUCGGCUUUUAUGGAAAUGAAAUCAGCUUCUCAUUCUGUUACAUUUUUCAAUUUUGCUGCCUAUAACUGCUCACUGCCUGUUUGUGAGACAUUAUCCAGAUUUUCCCUGAUCAAUUAUAGAGAGGUCAUUGGACUCAUCCAUGAUUGGAAUUUCCUGUUAUCAUUAUUUGCAAAUCAUCAACCAUUUGUCAUGAUAUCUUAAGUUAAGCUGAGCACGAAUUUCAGCUAAGAUCCUCAGAACUAGAAAUAUGCACUGCAGGUAUUACUUGAUAUGUGAAUAUCCAAUACAAUAUUUUUUUACUAAGAGGAAUACGAAUUUGAAACACUUUCCAAUAAUUUAUCAAGUCAUAUUUUCGUGCUGUCGUGAUACAUGUGUCUACUGUAUGCAUGGCUUUUCUUUUCUACACAUGCCUUUAUCUUUGCACAUGACUCUUUUGAUACACGCCAGCAUCAAGGCAAUUGCCUAAAUCUAAAUCACAUCCUUUGUGUCACGUCUUCCUUGUUACCACGGUCCUCUUGUACACCAUGGUCCCUUAAUGUAACUUGUGCCACAAGCCCUUUGUGCAUGAAUUCAAAUUGUUCAAUCAUUUCGCCAUUUACACCUUUUAAGGUCCAAUAAGCGUAUACAAGAGACUACACUCAUUCUAGAUGAUAAAGUACAUUCAACUAACUACUCUUGCUAAUGAGCAUAUCCAAGUCAAUACAUAAGAUUAAUUAUUACAUAUGGUAAUUGAAACCCUGUUUAAAUAAAUAGUGACACAAAUAUAAAAAAUAUAUAUAUUUAAAAAUAAAUAAAUAACAAUUUAGAGAAUUUCAUAACUUAGUAUCAAACCUAUUGUAGGAAAGAGUAUUAUACAAUGUAGGGUUUAGGAUCAAAGUUAACCUAAGAUCAAUUUUAAGUUUUAAGACCAAUUCAAAUUCAAAACUAAGGUUUUAAGUUUCAAAAAUAUAUCUCUUAAACCAAUUAAAUAGAAAAAAGAAAAUUACAAAGAAAAUUUCUUCCUCAUCGGUUUCUUUUAUCUUGAAAACUAAAGGAAAUAUAUAUCAAUAUUUGAGAUGGAAAUUCAUAAUCUUAGAAACACAAAGAACAAAGAGAGUAUGAAGAGACCAUACCAUGAGAGAUUUUCCAAAAGGUUGGUAAACCAUGGUAAUCACCUUUGAGUUUUGCUGAGAAAAACAAACCUUAAUUUUUAUUUUUAUUUUUUUAUCAUUUUUUCUCUUGUGGUGUACAUUUAAGAAAAACAAAUCUUAAAAAAAAAAAAAAAAAAACCAAAUAAUGCCAGAAUUUGGGUUGAGAAACACCCAAAAGAUAGUGGCCCAAUACAUGUGCCUAAGAAAAUCUUCAUGAGCCGAUAAACAUAGUCACAAAACUAGUAACAGCCUUGUAGCCAUAGUUGGUGUAGUAUGAGCAAGUGGGGUAUGAAGUAGGUAGGUGAGUAUUGCAAUGAAAUUUCCAGCACUGCUUCCUGAAUUAAGAAAUCACAUACCCAAGUCUUAGUCGUCGUCGUCGUACCGUGUGAGAACCGGGAAGAAUCUUUGCUCGUAGAGUGGCUUUUGUAGUCUUUCUUUAACAAUUACAAGUUAUCUGAAUUCCCUUCAUCCUCCUAUAUAAUAUUGUUUUUGGUCUUGUUCUUGUUGCAUUGUGGCUAGGCAUCUCCAUGGAAGGAAGGAGGAUGAAUCAAGUUCCUUUGUAUGAAUCAAUUUCUCUGCUCUUUUUCUUUUCAAUCCGUGAAUCGAAUCAUUGCUUAGUUCUUGCUUUAAUUUCUCCAUUUUCUGUUGGGUCUUUGACUGCAGGUUUAGCUCUGCAAGAGAACUGGGAAAUUUAAUGGUGACCUCCAAUCUAAUCGACUCUGCUUUGACUAAAAUUCUUGAGCUUCAAAGAGACCAAACAGCCUUGCUUUCCUCCGUUCAAUACAGAGUUUUUUAUCCAUCUCCCAAGUGCACAAUUGUAGCUUUUGUCUCUUCACCUGACUGCACUCAAAACCCUCUUCCUGGACAAGGAGAUUUAGUUCCGUCUCCUCUCUUUGACUUCCUCUGCACCGAAGAAUACAAGUCCGUCUCCAUUAACAGAGCUGCAUUAACCCUCUUUACCUCUUUCCACGAUCAUCUCUCUGGACUAAAAACUCAGGUCAAAAUAUGAUAGUUGUUUUUAUUUUCGUUUCCUUUUUGUUAACAAUUGUGAGACAUGAAACAGCUUGACCAUGAGAUCUCUCUCAUAGAGUCAAACUACCUGAAGAAGAAGAAGACGUUACACAUAUCCAUCUGCGUUGCAUCAUCGCAUUACCCAUUGAUCGGUUGUGAUUCAACUCUUAAUAGGAAGACAGUAGAACUGGUGUUGGUAUCUGUUUUUAGAUCAGCUUAUAUGUAUCUUGUUUCUAAAAAAGGUAAGUUUAGAAGUGAGAUUAAUGGGAUUAUUCUGACAUGGAUUCCAUAUGGUUACCUGUUUUGCAGUUGACUCAGAUUGAAGGUCAAUUAAUCAUCACUGGGCACUCCCUGGGAGGAUCCGUUGCUUCUCUCUUCACCUUAUGCCUGCUAGAUGGAAAUUUAUUAAAACCCAACUGCCGCCCCUUUUGUAUCACCUUUGGUUCACCCCUCAUCGGCGGCUUUGGCCUCCAACACUCCAUAUGGAAUUCUUUCUUCCUGCAUGUAGUGUCUAACCAAGACCCAGUCCCCGGUCUCUUCCUCCCAUCUGGCAGAGGCAGAUCUACGCCCACAUCCUCCCAUUCACAAACUACCGGUUACAAGCCCUUUGGGACAUAUCUCUUGUGCUCUGAACUUGGUUGUGCUUGUUUGGAAAAGCCUGAUUUAAUUUUGGGAUUGCUGAAAGUCAGAUCAUCCGAGGUUGCCGGAGGAUUGCAGGAUGUUGAUUAUGGGGAGAUUUUAAGAAACCUCAAGGAGAGGGCAAUCUGCAAGGGACUUCAGCAGGUGGGUGAAAGGUUUGCAGAUCCUUUUACAGCUGGGAUCAUCAUGGACCUUGAGAUAAUUGGAUUUGAUCAAACAAAGGUAAACAGCUAGCUUUCUCCCAUCUAAUGAUGUUAUGAAACAUGGUUUACACUUCACCAAAUACUGCAACAACUGCCCUAUUUAGAUUUGCCGUCUUGUUCUUUGGGAUCUUCCAUAACUAGACUCAUUUUUUAAUUUCAUGGCAGCUGCUGCAGCAUAACAUUGAUAUCGAGACUGUGAUAAGCACAAUGGAAGAGGAAGCCAGAAACCCAACCAAAAAAAAUAAAGCUUUCGAUGCCAAGAUUCUGAAUCACAAAAAAAAAGACAUGGCCGGGCUAGAAUGGUAUAAGAAGAAAUCAAAAGAUCUGAACAAGGGUUACUACGACUGCUUCAAAAACCAGGGGUCAAAAAGGGACAUUAAAAUUGAACAGUAUGGGGGACACCUCACAUUAUACUGGAAAGACAUGGUUGCACAAGUACAGAGGAAGCCCCAGAAGGAAGGAGCAACAUUUCGAACCCGUUGGCUCUAUGCAGGGACGGUUUAUAGAAGAAUGGUUGAACCACUGGACAUUGCUGCCUUCUACGUAGAGGGUGGAACAGACUACAUGAAGAAUGAAAGAUCUCUUCAUUACAAGCUGUUGCAGCAAUGGUAUGAGGAAGAUGUGAAACCCCCCUCUAAGGAUAAGCUUGAUUCCAAGAAGCAAAAGGUGUCUGGUAUCCUAACUGAGGAUUCUUGCUUUUGGGCACAUGUGGAGGAGGCUAUCUUGUCAUGCGAAUUGCUUAAGAGUGAAAACUGUACUCUUGAGCAGGAAAAAUCAUCAUGGGAUAAUCUGGUUAAGUUCGAGGAGUAUGUAAUGGAACAGAUUAACAACUAUGCAGUGUCCCCUGAGAUUUUCUUGGGGGAAAGCAGCUUCAUGAAAUGGUGGGGACUGUAUGAGGGCUACAUAUAUGCUCGCAGUAAUUCCCAUAGGUCACCAUUGAUCAGCUUUAUGAAGAACGGUAGUUAUACAGAGUAUCGUUAGAGGGGUAAUCCAGUUUGUGUGUUGUGUGUAUUGUUUUGUGAGCAUUCAAUGGAUAGAACUAGAAAGAGUGUGACCUUUUUCCUUUUUUUCUUCUAGUUGCUGCCCAUAUUCUCAGCACUAUUUUCUUCCUUCUUUUCCUCAGUUUUUUCUUAAGAAAUGAAUAUUAUGAUGUUGCUGGGAUGCACUUUCAUUUUUGUUCCAUUACAUUGUGUUUUAUUCAUAUCCUAAACAAAUAAAUGUAAACAAGAAAAUCAAAUAAGACUUCAAAGAGUCUGUUCCUUUUAAAGCAAGGGAAAAAAAGGACAUGUUUGUUUACUUCCACAGCUGGGUAGAUUCAACUCCACCAAAAUUGGCAACAACUUCCCAUUGAAAAAUUCCUUCUAAGCUUGAAUGACAUAAAACUAGAUAUGUUCCAGCUAGAAUGGUACAAAAAAGAAAUCAAAAGAUGAGCACAAUGGGUUAUUAUGACAGCUUUAGAAACCAUCUUACAACACAUCCAUCAGAAUUUAGACUAUUCAUAGAAACAUUCUUAACAUGUAAAUCUACUAUUGCCAUGCACGUCAACAUAGAAUUUCUAAAAUGAUUGAAUAAAAUAAAUAAAACAAAAGAAACCCUUCCAAGAGAAUUUCAUAAUCUAAUGUCAAAUCUAUUACGAAGAUGAACAUGUAAAAUUUAAGGUUUAUAAUCAAAGUCGACUUGAAUCUGAGUUUUAAAACCAAUUUGCAGUUUUUAAGUUUGGAGACUAGAUCUCUUAAACCAAUUAAAUGUAAAAAACUAAAAAGAAAACUUCUUCAAAUUUUGAAAUGAGAAUGAGAAUGCAAUUCCUAACUAGUUUCUUCAUCAAAAAUCCCGAAAAAAAAAAAAAAAGAAGAGAGAGAGAGACCAUAGACGCCAGUGUUUGGGUUUAGAACCACCCAAGAGAGAGUAGUCCAAUAUAUGGGCUUAAGAAAAUCCUCAUGGGCCUAAGCUAAGACUAGGAACAAUCUUGUAUCCGUGGUUGGUUUAGUAUGAGCAUGUGUACUGCGAAGGAAGUAGCUGAGAAUUGCAAUGGAAUUUCCAGUACUGCUUCCUGAACGAACAAAUCGCAUACCCAAGAUUUGGUCGUCAACGCCAUGCUGGGUGAGAACCGGGGAAGCAUCUUCGCUCGUUGACGAGCUUUUGUAGUCCUUCUUUAACAAUUAUAAGGCAUCUGAAUUCCCUUCAUCCUCCCACACCAUUGUUUUUGGUCUUGUUCUUGUUGCUUUGUGACUACGCAUCUCCAUGGAAGGAAGGAGGAUGAACCAAGUUCCUUUGUAUGCAUCAAUUUUACUGUUUUUUUUUUCCUUUUUAAUCUUUGGAUCGAAUCAUUGCUUAGUUCUUGCUUAAUUUCUCCAUUUUAUGUUGGGUCUUUGAUUGCAGGUUUAGCUCUGCGCGAGAACUGGGAAAUUUAAUUGUGACCUCCAAUCUAAUCGACUCUGCUUUGACUAAAAUUCUUGAGCUUCAAAGAGACCAAACAGCCUUGCCUUCCCCCGUUCAAUACAGAGUUUUUUAUCCAUCUCCCAAGUGCACAAUUGUAGCUUUUGUCUCUUCACCUGACUGCACUCAAAACCCUCUUCCUGGACAAGGAGAUUUAGUUCCCUCUCCUCUCUUUGACUUCCUCUGCACCGAAGAAUACCCUUCCGUCUCCAUUAACGGAGCCGCAUUAACCCUCUUUAC